GAUGAACGCUGGCGGUAUGCUUAACACAUGCAAGUCGAACGGACUCUUCGGAGUUAGUGGCGGACGGGUGAGUAACGCGUGAGAAUCUGGCUUUGGGUUCGGGACAACCACUGGGAACGGUGGCUAAUACCGGAUGUGCCGAGAGGUAAAAGAGAAAUUGCCUGAAGAUGAGCUCGCGUCUGAUUAGCUAGUUGGUGAGGUAAAGGCUCACCAAGGCAGCGAUCAGUAGCUGGUCUGAGAGGAUGACCAGCCACACUGGGACUGAGACACGGCCCAGACUCCUACGGGAGGCAGCAGUGGGGAAUUUUCCGCAAUGGGCGAAAGCCUGACGGAGCAAUACCGCGUGAGGGAAGAAGGCUCUUGGGUUGUAAACCUCUUUUCUUAGGGAAGAACAAAAUGACGGUACCUAAGGAAUCAGCAUCGGCUAACUCCGUG
rnacentral:rRNA from 1 species